rnacentral:lncRNA from 1 species
AAUAUAUGAGAAAACGUGAAAGGUCGUUUUCGUUUAUGAUCUUCCCUCUUGUUUAAAAAAGGAAACUACAGAAUAUAAAGAAAACCAAAUCAGUAGCAAAUUGCUUCCAUUUUCUCGCACUGUGUUCUGCUUCUUCUAUCAAAUGCAGGUACUUCCUCUGUCUCUCUUUGUACUGAAGUGAGAGAAUGGCUUUUCUGGUUUCAAUUUUCAACUCAUGUUUUAAACAAUAAUUCGCAUCUAUUUAAAGUUAAAUUGCAUUCACCAAAUUCAAUAGCCUCUCCAGUUCUCUAAAACCGAAAUAAGCUAGUUCAGAGGAUCUGGCCCAAGCAUAAAAAUUAUUUAUUUCUUCUCAAUUUCUAUAAAGCUGGUAAAUUUAUUUAGAAGACCAGCCAAAUGUAAAAUGAUUAAAUUAGGACAUCAUAAACGCCAAGCUGCAUAUGGGGUUGACACUUUACCUGGACCUAACUAUUUCUUCUUUCAUGGCAAGUGAAAGAGAACUGAGAUUGCCUCCACUUUCCACUAUUACCCCUGGCAUGGCAAUUGCCCUGCUUCCCACAAACCCACCUUCUCCAACUUUUAUUUUACCGAAUUUAACCUUUCCUUCAUCUCCUUCAUAUACGUGUCCAAACAAAAGAGCUUCUUUUCCAACACAGCCACCUUUCUCUAUCUCCACCAUUUCUGGAUUCAAUGCAGCUCCCAUGCUAUCUACGUAGGCCCCUUGAUCCAAUUCAAUAUCUGAACCCAUCAAUUUCAACCAUAGAUUAAACAAGACGGAGCCACUUGUCAUUUCCAUGAAAUAAUCCCCAACUACAGUUCUAAAAGCCUGCCAUAUUGUAUCCCUGAAGACCCCUUUACUCCAAAUUAAUACUGUUUCCCCUUCUUUCUUCUUUCCCACAAGAAUCCAUUUGGCCACAACACAAGCUAUUGCAGCAAGAAUCCCUGAAGAAACCCAAACCAAUGGGAGUAACCAACGAAGUGAAAGUUGCUUGCUUUCCUUCAAGAAAAGGACCCAGUUUAAAGGAGCAAAGAUUACCAAUCCCAUGAGGAAAUAUGGAAACAACGUUUGCAACAAUGGCUGAGCAAAAAUGGCCCAUGAAGUUUGAUACCAAGUUCUUGCCAGAGUUACCUUUCCUGAAUCUUUUUUCUCUAAAAUUGCAGCCAUUGGACAACCUGAAAGGUCUACUUUAACAUCAGAUUGCUCUAUAAACGUUCUCCAAGCCUCUGGAAGGGGUUCCCCAUUUCGCAAAUGCUGACAAAUUUCAUAGAUCAAAGAACGACCAUGAUCAAUUGAUGCACUUUGGGAGCAUGAUGUGGCUCUGAUAACAUCCACCUCAGAACAUCUAAGGUAAGGAUUAAACUCGAGUCUUUCUGAUUCUUCACUGGUGAGAUUUUGAUCAAUAGUAAUUUCCCCAGCAUCAAGGUAUGGGAAUUCAGUUUCAUCCCAUGGUCUGGUGCAGUCAAGUGCUAUGUCACGAGUGGCUUCAUCGGUUGGAACUGCUCGGACUUGCAGCUGGAAAAUGUAGC